CCUACGGGGGGCAGCAGUGAGGAAUAUUGGUCAAUGGGCGGUAGCCUGAACCAGCCAAGUAGCGUGAAGGAUGACUGCCCUAUGGGUUGUAAACUUCUUUUAUAUGGGAAUAAAGUGCAGUAUGUAUACUGCUUUGCAUGUACCUUAUGAAUAAGGAUCGGCUAACUCCGUGCCAGCAGCCGCGGUAAUACGGAGGAUCCGAGCGUUAUCCGGAUUUAUUGGGUUUAAAGGGAGCGUAGGCGGGAUGUUAAGUCAGUUGUGAAAGGUUGGGGCUCAACCCUAACAUUGCAGGGGAUACUGGCGUCCUUGAGUACAGGAGAGGUAGGCGGAAUUCGUGGUGUAGCGGUGAAAUGCUUAGAUAUCACGAAGAACUCCGAUUGCGAAGGCAGCCUGCUGGACUGUAACUGACGCUGAUGCUCGAAAGCGUGGGUAUCGAACAGGAUUAGAUACCCCAGUAGUC
rnacentral:rRNA from 1 species